rnacentral:rRNA from 1 species
ACCGGGAGAUAGCUGGUUCUCCCCGAAAGCUAUUUAGGUAGCGCCUCGUGAAUUCAUCUCCGGGGGUAGAGCACUGUUUCGGCAAGGGGGUCAUCCCGACUUACCAACCCGAUGCAAACUGCGAAUACCGGAGAAUGUUAUCACGGGAGACACACGGCGGGUGCUAACGUCCGUCGUGAAGAGGGAAACAACCCAGACCGCCAGCUAAGGUCCCAAAGUCAUGGUUAAGUGGGAAACGAUGUGGGAAGGCCCAGACAGCCAGGAUGUUGGCUUAGAAGCAGCCAUCAUUUAAAGAAAGCGUAAUAGCUCACUGGUCGAGUCGGCCUGCGCGGAAGAUGUAACGGGGCUAAACCAUGCACCGAAGCUGCGGCAGCGACACUAUGUGUUGUUGGGUAGGGGAGCGU